rnacentral:rRNA from 1 species
GACGAACGCUGGCGGCGGGCUUAACACAUGCAAGUCGAACGGAAAGGCCCUGCUUUUGUGGGGUGCUCGAGUGGCGAACGGGUGAGUAACACGUGAGUAACCUGCCCUUGACUUUGGGAUAACUUCAGGAAACUGGGGCUAAUACCGGAUAGGAUCUCCUGCUGGAUGGUGGGGGUGGGAAAUUUUCGGCGGUUGGGGAUGGACUCGCGGCUGAUCAGCUUGUUGGUUGGGUAGUGGCUUACCAAGGCGUUGACGGGUAGCCGGCCUGAGAGGGUGACCGGCCACAUUGGGACUGAGAUACGGACCAGACUCCUACGGGAGGCAGCAGUGGGGAAUAUUGCACAAUGGGCGGAAGCCUGAUGCAGAAACGCCGCGUGCGGGAUGACGGCCUUCGGGUUGUAAACCGCUUUCGCCUGUGACGAAGCGUGAGUGACGGUAAUGGGUAAAGAAGCACCGGCUAACUACGUG